UGAAGGAGAGAUCAUCAAGGCUAAUGGGAGAAGAGAGAGAGUACAGCCUCACUCUCAUGAUGGUGGGGUGAUGGAGAGCUGUACCCUCUCCCUUCUUCUCUUGGCUUUUGAUGAAGGCAAUAUGUCAGUAUUGCAUGGCAUUGUUGUUCUUAAUUUUCUUUCGUUAGAUAUCUAUCUUUCGACUCCUGCAUGAAUAUAAAUGAAACAAGCAAGCUGUUGCUCUGUUUUUUGGUCUCACCAGCUUUGAUGAGCUUCAACCCAUAUUGUGAUUGUUCGCGAUUGUUUACAGCUUAUAUCACAACACUUACAAUUUAUGUUCAUGUUCUCUUCUUUUCUUUUUUGGAUUCCUUUUUUUUCUUUUUUUGGUUACUAAACAAAGAGCAGCUUAUUUGUCUAGUUUGAAAGUACUCAUAAUACUGGACCAGGAUGGAGUGGAUGGUUCCUCUGAACUUUUCUUUCUCCGAGGAGAUGGAUUGGAGCAUAUGAUAUACCCAAGGUUGGGGAUCAGCAUUUGGAUGUAUAGUAAAACAUGGGUCAUCAUUUCAACAUACGAUGCAUCCAGCCACCAAGUUGGCCAUGUAGACAAUGGUUUUGGCUUAGUGAAUGGAAAAAAUAAUAAGUGUAAUAGGCAAAGGAGGACGACCAUCUCCAAUGCCAUGAAAUCUACACUAGAUUCUGGCGGUUAAUCACCUUAGGUUCGUCUAUCCCUCAAAAUACCUCUUACACAAGAUCAGCCUAAUUUCCACCACUGAAGUCAUGAACAUGGAUUCAAUCUCUAUCAAUAUAGUCCUUUGUUUAUUUUAUUCACUUCAAACAGAAUCAGAUGCAUUUCUGGAUAUAAGUAUAUGAAUAAUGAUGCUUUAAUAGUUUCUUGUUUUCUGUAAGGCAAAAUUCUUGUAACAUAAGAGAAUAUUAUGUCGAAAAAUCUAGGGAAUUUGUUUUAGUUC